CCUACGGGGGGCAGCAGUGAGGAAUAUUGGUCAAUGGGCGCAAGCCUGAACCAGCCAAGUCGCGUGAGGGAUGACGGUCCUAUGGAUUGUAAACCUCUUUUGUCGGGGCGCAAGGCCCGCCACGUGUGGCGGGACGGAGAGUACCCGAAGACAAAGCAUCGGCUAACUCCGUGCCAGCAGCCGCGGUAAUACGGAGGAUGCGAGCGUUAUCCGGAUUUAUUGGGUUUAAAGGGUGCGUAGGCGGAAGGUUAAGUCAGCGGUCAAAUGUAGGUGAUAAACAACGGCCUGCAGUUGAAAAUGGUAUUAGUGAGUGAGAGAGAAGUAUGAGGAAUGAGUGGUGUAGAGGUGAAAUGAAUAGAUAUAAAGAAGAAAUAAGAUUGAGAAGGAAGAAUAAAGGAGAUAAAAUGAAGAUGAGGAAAGAAAGAGUGGGGAUAGAAAAGGAUUAGAUAACCAAGUAGUC
rnacentral:rRNA from 1 species